rnacentral:tRNA from 1 species
GUUUUAAUAAUUUAAUUAAAAUAUUGAUUUUGUAAAUCAAAAAUAAGAAUACUUUUAAAACA